AUUGAACGCUGGCGGCAGGCCUAACACAUGCAAGUCGAACGAGUGGCGGACGGGUGAGUAAUGUCUGGGAAACUGCCUGAUGGAGGGGGAUAACUACUGGAAACGGUAGCUAAUACCGCAUACCAUCGGAUGUGCCCAGAUGGGAUUGGCUAGUAGGGGGGGUAAAGGCUCACCAGGGCGACGAUCCCUAGCUGGUCCGAGAGGUUGACGAGCCACACGGGAAGUGGGACCCGGUCAAGACUCCUACGGGAGGAAGCAGUGGGGAAUAUUGCACAAUGGGCGAAAGCCGGAUGCAGCCAUGCCGCGUGUAUGAAGAAGGCCUUCGGGUGGUAAAGUACUUUCAGCGGGGAGGCGUUACCCGCAGAAGAAGCACCGGCUAACUCCGUGCCAGCAGCCGCGGUAAUUC
rnacentral:rRNA from 1 species